UCUUUUCCUUGUGUGCCAGCAGCCGCGGUAAAACGUAGGUCACAAGCGUUGUCCGGAAUUACUGGGUGUAAAGGGAGCGCAGGCGGGAGAACAAGUUGGAAGUGAAAUCCAUGGGCUCAACCCAUGAACUGCUUUCAAAACUGUUUUUCUUGAGUAGUGCAGAGGUAGGCGGAAUUCCCGGUGUAGCGGUGGAAUGCGUAGAUAUCGGGAGGAACACCAGUGGCGAAGGCGGCCUACUGGGCACCAACUGACGCUGAGGCUCGAAAGUGUGGGUAGCAAACAGG
rnacentral:rRNA from 1 species